UACAGAGGGGGCGAGCGUUGUUCGGAAUUACUGGGCGUAAAGGGCGCGUAGGCGGCCUUCUAAGUCGAACGUGAAAUCCCCGGGCUCAACCCGGGAACUGCGUCCGAUACUGGGAGGCUUGAAUCCGGGAGAGGGAUGUGGAAUUCCAGGUGUAGCAGUGAAAUGCGUAGAUAUCUGGAGGAACACCGAUGGCGAAGGCAGCCCCCUGGGCUAACACUGACGCUCAUGCACGAAAGCGUGGGGAGCAAACAGG
rnacentral:rRNA from 1 species